rnacentral:rRNA from 1 species
GACGAACGCUGGGGGCGUGCUUAACACAUGCAAGUCGAGCGGAAAGGCCACUUCGGUGGUACUCGAGCGGCGAACGGGUGAGUAACACGUGAGUAAUCUGCCCCUCACUUUGGGAUAGCCACCGGAAACGGUGAUUAAUACCGGAUAUGACCAUAUGUCGCAUGGCGUGUGGUGGAAAGUUUUUCGGUGAGGGAUGUGCUCGCGGCCUAUCAGCUUGAUGGUGAGGUAAUGGCUCACCAUGGCUUCGACGGGUAGCCGGCCUGAGAGGGUGACCGGUCACACUGGGACUGAGACACGGCCCAGACUCCUACGGGAGGCAGCAGUGGGGAAUAUUGGACAAUGGGCGGAAGCCUGAUCCAGCAACGCCGCGUGAGGGAUGACGGCCUUCGGGUUGUAAACCUCUUUCAGUACCGACGAAGCGCAAGUGACGGUAGGUACAGAAGAAGCACCGGCCAACUACGUG